rnacentral:rRNA from 1 species
AAAGUUGCUGCGUUUAAAAAGCUCAUAGUUGGAUCUGUUUGAGUAUAACGGUAACAUAGUGGUUAGUUAACACUUUCCACUCGUUACGCUCAUCCUUCGCAUCGAAGAAGCAUCUUGCACUUAAAUGUGACGAGUUGUGGAAACGGUGUUUUCACUUUGAGAAAAUUAGAGUGUUCAAAGCAUCCUUUGGGAUUGAAUAAUCAAGCAUGGAAUAAUGGAGAAUGACCCGCGUUUUACUGAUGCCGGUGGCUAAAGUGCGGUAAUGAUUGAAAGGAACAGCCGGGGGCAUUUGUAUUGCUACGUUAGAGGUGAAAUUCUUGGAUCGUGGCAAGACAAACUACUGCGAAAGCAUUUGCCAAGAAUGUUUUCAUUAAUCAAGAACGAAAGUUAGAGUAUUGAAGAGGAUUAGAUACCCUCGUAAUUCUAACCAUAAACUAUACCAACUUACGAUUUGUCAAAGUCUUUUCUGACUUGUCAAGAAAUUAACCGGGAAACCAAAGUUUAUUGGUUCCGGGGGAAGUAUGGUUGCAAAAUCGAAACUUAAAGGAAUUGACGGAAGGGCACCACCAGGAGUGGAGCCUGCGGCUUAAUUUGACUCAACACGGGAAAUCUCACCAGGUCCAGACAUCUUAAGGAUUGACAGAUUGAUUAUCUUUCAUGAUUAUAUGGGCGGUGGUGCAUGGCCGUUCUUAGUUAGUGGAGUGAUCUGUCUGGUUAAUUCCGAUAACGAACGAGAUCUUGAUCAUCUAAAUAGUGCCAUUCUGUUUACAGUAUUGGUAACUUCUUAGAGGAACUAUGUGCAAUUAAAUAGCACAAGUGAAGUGAGGCUAUAACAGGUCUGUGAUGCCCUUAGAUGUUCUGGACUGCACGCGCGCUACACUGUUGGCUUUAAAUUGAGAGAUAACCUUGGCCUAUAUGGUCCGGGUAAUCACCUAAAAGUCAAGUGCGUGAAGGGGAUCGAAUGUUGUAACUUGCAUUCGUGAACCAGGAAUUCCUAGUACUCAGUAGUCAACAACUACUGGGGAUUACGUCCCUGCCCUUUGUACACACCGCCCGUCGCUACUACUGAUUGGAUGUUUAAGCAAGAAUUGCGGAAGCCUGUCGCUGAGACUUCGGUCCUGGCAAUGGGUGGAAGCGGAUCGAGCUUAAUGUCUA